rnacentral:rRNA from 1 species
GACGAACGCUGGCGGCGUGCUUAACACAUGCAAGUCGUACGGUAAGGCCCUUUCGGGGGUACACGAGUGGCGCACGGGUGAGUAACACGGGAGUAACCUGCCCACAACUUUGGGAUAACGCUAGGAAACUGGUGCUAAUACUGGAUAUGUGCUCCUGCUGCAUGGUGGGGGUUGGAAAGCUUCGGCGGUUGUGGAUGGACUCUCGGCCUAUCAGCUUGUUGGUGGGGUAGUGGCCUACCAAGGCGGCGACGUGUAGCCGGCCUGUGAGGGUGACCGGCCACAUUGGGACUGAGAUACGGCCCAGACUCCUACGGGAGGCAGCAGUGGGGAAUAUUGCACAAUGGGCGCAAGCCUGAUGCAGCAACGCCGCGUGCGGGAUGACGGCCUUCGGGUUGUAAACCGCUUUCAGCAGGGACGAAGCUUUUUGUGACGGUACCUGCAGAAGAAGCACCGGCUAACUACGUG